rnacentral:rRNA from 1 species
GCAGCCCGCGGUAAUUCCAGCUCCAAUAGCGUAUACUAAAGUUGUUGCGAUUAAAAAGCUCGUAGUUGGAUCUCAGGUAUGGGCGCGCGGUCCGCCUCGCGGCGGUCACUGUGUGUAUUUUUCCCAUCCUACGCUUCCCGGUUGUUAGCCCAUGGUGCUCUUUAUUGAGCGUUUUGGGUGGCCGGAACGUUUACUUUGAAGAAAUUAGAGUGUUCAAAGCAGGCACGUUGCCUGAAUAAUGGUGCAUGGAAUAAUGGAAUAGGACCUCGGUUCUAUUUUGCUGGUUUUCGGAACACGAGGUAAUGAUUAAGAGGGACAGACGGGGGCAUCCGUAUUGCGGUGUUAGAGGUGAAAUUCUUGGAUCAUCGCAAGACGAACAACUGCAAAAGCAUUUGCCAAGCAGGUUUUCAUUAUUCAAGAACGAAAGUCAGAGGUUCGAAGAGGAU